CACCACGUAUCCAACCACGAAAUGCAGUGUUUUAUUUUUUUACCUCGUAUGAUCGGGCCUUAAUCACUGCAAUAUGGAGCAGCAGUUUUUUUCCGUGUGAAGGGACCAUAAUUCGAUUACCAUUGACAUAAGAAUGAAAGAGAGAGGGAGAUGAAAAGUGUCAAAGUAAAAAACAAACAAACGAUUAUUAAAAGUCAUUUUGCAAACCGUGAUAAAUCUUGGCAUUCUUUUGUUAAAUAAUAAUAUUACUUCAGCAAUACUUAAAAGAGAAUUUUACACUAGUUAGAAUUACUAAAAAGCUAGCGAAUUCGAAAUACUGUAACGGCUUAAAAAGUAAUUGAUUAUUCUAGUUUAAAAGGUGAAAGUGAAGAAGUGAUGAACUCAAGUUUAUAGUACGUUUUUACUAAAUCAGGUUUGUCAGCCAGCGUUUGUUGUCAACAUAAUUUCUAAACGAAUCAAUUUUAGAUACCUACCUGCUGUUUGAAAUAGUUUAGAAAACAACCUGUGGAAUAAAGCAAACCUAGAUAAACACCAAACUUGGGGUAAAUAAGACAUCGACAAACUGAUAGUUCUAAACCUAACCUAAAAUAUAAACAAUCUUGUAGCAUAACUCUUACCGGUUUAUGAGAUAAACAUAAAGAAGGACGCACAUUAGAGACACUAAACGUAAGUUCAAAUUUAGUCUGAAAUGUAUAUUCAUUAGAGUUAAGAAAAUGCAAUUACGUUAUUAUCAAUAUUGUCAAUAUAUGAAUUUAAUUUGUCUCUCGAUAGGGAUUUUUUAACGACGGUGUUGUCGUCACAGGAAAUUGUUACCGUGAAAUAAAACCAGUUUAAGAAAUCGGAAACUUGUCUCUGUUUCUCGUUGCAAGUUCGCAACAUUUUAAAAAAUCCGUUUAUCUCGCGGUCGGGAAGGCUUUCGAAAUGUCUAAGGAUAGACAAGAAAACAUGUCAAAGUCAGGUGUGAGUUGUGGUAUGUGCAGGAAUCCGGACGAUAGCCGAAUGGUGUGUUGUGACGACUGUGGUGGAUGGUUUCACUUUGAGUGCGUGGGCGUCGAUGAAGGGAUCGAAGAAGUAGAUUGGAGCUGUAAAUCGUGCGAAAAAAGGCGAACAGCUCAGGUCUCACCGACCCGUUUGACGGUUCCAGUACCAACAAGGACAACUAAGUCACCAAAGGGCAGUCAGGAGCAACAAAAUAAGCUCGUUAUGGAAUUCCAAAAGCAGAUGGAGCAAAUGCAGAGUAGGUUCCAAGAACAACAGCUAGCAUAUGAGAAAAUGCUUGCAGAAAAAGAUCGUGAAAUGAAAAAUGCGAUGAAUGAUUUGCAGUAUCAGUUUCAGUGCCAGUUAGAGAAAAGGGAGCAACAAAUUCGAGAUGAGAUGGUUGGUCAACAGGUUGUACCUCCCCCUAAUGCAAAUUCUACUACUGUGGGAAAUGCGGCGACAGAUAUGUGCCAAAUGAUGGAGCGGGUGGAAAAACAGCUUCAAAAGAUGGCGGAAGUUCAGAAGCGUGAUACGAUGCGACUAGAGGAACGAUUAAGAGCAAUGGAGAUUAGUGCGAAUAAUCGCGCAUCCAGAAGUACAUCGAACGUCGAUGUAGAUUCUUUCGACUCGAAUCCUGGUCUUUCGUCAGCUACCAUUUCGCACGAGUUAAGCAGAAGUCAACUUGCUGCACGGCAGGCAGUAGCAAAAGAGCUGCCCGAGUUUUCUGGUAACCCUGAGGAGUGGCCUUUGUUUAUUGCUACGUAUGAAAGCACUACAAAGAUGUGUGGGUUUAGUGACGAGGAAAAUUUGCUGCGACUUCAGCGAAGUCUAAAGGGAAAGGCUCUUGAAGCGGUAAGAAGUCGGUUAUUGCAUCCAUGUGGGCUUGAAGGUGUUAUCAAUACAUUACGUACACUAUUCGGUCGUCCAGAAGUAAUUGUGCAUUCCAUAGUGUGCAAGAUUCGCGAGAUGCCAGCUCCGAAGACAGAGAAAUUAGAAACUCUGAUCGAUUUCGGUGUUGCAGUCCAGAACAUGUGCGCAACGAUUGUUGCUUGUGGGUUGAAUGAGCAUCUGUGUAAUGUAGCACUGCUUCAAGAGCUUGUCGAAAAGCUUCCACCUACUAUCAAACUUGAUUGGGCGAAGUAUCGUCAACCGCUUCGAGUUAUAACACUGUCAGAUUUCAGUGCUUGGUUAGGAACGCUGGUUGAAGCAGCUUGUGUGGUUACUGUUCCAUCACCAAUCAGUGUAUAUACUGGGAAACCCGAGAAACGCAAUCGUAAGGAAGAGCUUCAUGUUCAUCUCGAGUCCAGCUCUACUCAGACUACGAGUAUGAUGGCGACUCCGCCGAAGUCACACAACAAGCAGUGCAUAAUUUGUUUUGGAGGUUGCAGUACUGUAGAAAUUUGUAAGAAGUUUCAAGAGUUUGAUGUUGGUAUGCGAUGGGCAGCAUUAAAGCAAAACAAAUUAUGCCGGAAAUGUCUGACGAAACAUUUCGGAGCCUGUAUGGUAAAACAAACAUGCGGAAGAAACGGUUGUCCAUACAUGCACCACAAGCUACUUCACGACGAUUAUAGGUACCAGCGGAAUGAAAACUCACCAAUAUCAACUCAACAUGUUGAAACAGCCACAUCUACCGAGACCUGUAAUGCACAUGUCAGUCAAGCUGGCCAGGUUCUCUUCCGCUACGUCCCAGUGACUUUACAUGGACGAGGAAAAACUGUACGCAUUUUCGCCUUUUUGGACGACGGAUCGUCGGUAACACUGAUGGAACACAGCCUCCUGCAAGAACUAGAGCUCGAAGGGAAGUCACAUCCCUUGUGUUUGGGAUGGACAGCAGAUCAGCAGCGCCAAGAAAUGAAUUCUGUAAGACUACCGUUGGAGAUUUCAGGAGUGCGAGAAGCGACAACACACUGGCUUCCAAAAGUACAUACAGUGGAAAGUCUUGCUUUACCUUAUCAGACUCUCGCGAUGAAUGAAUUAGAGCAGCAUUAUCAUUAUUUGAAAAAAUUGCCGAUUGAUUCUUAUCACAACGUUCGACCAAGAAUGUUAAUCGGAAUGGACAAUUGCCGCUUAGGAAACGCGUUAGACAGUAGAGAGGGCGAAAAGAACGAACCAAUUGCCACUAGAACACGUCUUGGCUGGACAGUAUUUGGACCAUGCGCUGUAGUUCCAAAAUCAAACUUAGCAGCACACCAUAGCCUGCAUGUGUGCGCGUGUUGCGAGCGGAAUGACUUAGAAUUGCAUGGUGCAGUGAAGGCGUACUUUUCGCUAGAUAGUCUUGGAGUAAUGAAUCCCAUUAAACCUCUGUUAUCAAAAGACGACGAGCGCGCCGAGCAGUUACUGAAAGCUCUAACCCAUGUGAAGGAAAAGCGAUACGAAACAGGAUUAUUAUGGCGUUAUAACGAUACCCGGCUACCGGACAGCAAAGCGAUGGCUACGCGAAGACUGUUAUGUUUGGAGAAGCGAAUGCAACGAGACCCUGAGCUAGCUAAAAAUUUGAAGCAGAAGAUUCAAGAUUACGAACGAAGCGGUUAUGUUGAAAAGCUAACUGAGAAUCAGUUGUCGGAGGUAUUCCCCCGCGUUUGGUAUCUACCUAUUUUUCCUGUAGUGAAUCCUAAUAAACCUGGAAAAUUCCGCAUCGUAUGGGAUGCAGCGGCAAAGGUGUCUGGGGUCUCACUAAACUCAUUUUUGCUCACUGGACCAGAUUUACUCAACUCUUUGCCAUCCGUUUUGCAACGCUUUCGGGAAUUCCGAGUCGCCAUCACCGGUGAUAUACGUGAAAUGUUCCAUCAAGUUAUGAUCAACAGGAACGACCAGCAAUGCCAGAGGUUUCUGUGGAGAAAUGGUGAGCAAAAUCGUAGCCCAGAUGUCUACGCGAUGAAAGUGAUGACUUUCGGGGCUAACUGUUCACCUAGUUGCGCACAGUAUGUGAAAAAUCACAAUGCACUUCGUUUUCAAAAGCUAUUUCCGAGAGCGGCAGAAGCGAUAGUCAAAGAGCACUACGUUGACGACAUGCUGUCUAGUGAGGAGUCUGAGGAAGACGCAGUACAACUAGUAAAGGAUGUCUGCCACGUGCAUGCAGAAGCCGGAUUUGAAAUUCGAAACUGGUUAUCAAACUCGAAACAAGUAUUGCGUGAGGUAGAAGCCAUUCCAGGUGAGAAGAGCUUGAACUUGUCAAACGAGAUGGGAACGGAAAAGGUUUUGGGUAUGUGGUGGUGUACCAAUACGGAUACGUUUACGUUCAAAGUAUCGCCUAGAAUCAGUACUGAGUUAUUGCAGGGUAACGUCAUACCGUCAAAACGGCAAGUUUUGAGUAUUUUAAUGAUGAUUUACGAUCCUCUUGGACUUCUGGCCCAUUUCUUGAUGUUUCUAAAAAUACUGCUACAAGAAAUCUGGCGUAGUGGAAUUAAUUGGGAUGAUCAAAUCAAAUCCGAGCAGCACAAAAAAUGGAUGACAUGGCUACGAGUCCUUCCACAAGUGAAAAAUGUUAGUGUACCCAGAUGUUAUCGGCAGAAGACAGGCAUAGAAAAACGAAAUGUUAUGCAGCUUCAUGUGUUCGUAGAUGCGUCGGAGAAUGGAUUUGCUGCAGUUGCGUAUCUGCGUUUUGAAGAGAACGGCCAGGUGGAAUGUGCACUCAUUGGUGCAAAAACGCGUGUAGCUCCAUUGCGGUUUGUGUCAAUUCCAAGGCUUGAACUUCAGUCAGCACUAAUUGGAGCUCGCUUUGCGAAUGACAUCGGGGAAACACACAAGCUCAAACCAUCACAAAGGUUUUUUUGGACAGACUCGCGUGAUGUACUCUGCUGGCUGAAUUCCGAUCACCGAAAAUACAAUCAAUUUGUGGCGGUGCGUGUUAGUGAAUUGCUGGAGUUGACGGAUCUGAACGAGUGGAACUGGGUUCCAUCGAAACUGAACGUAGCAGAUGAUGCGACGAAAUGGCAGCAAACUCCUGAUUUGUCCCCGACAAGCCGAUGGUAUCGCUGUCCGGAAUUUUUGUGGAAAUUGAGAGAGCAAUGGCCCACGUCUACGUUUGUGUUCAACAAAACAUUAGAAGAUAGGCGAACGCACGUGUUACAUCAUAAUGCGCACCGUUUUCCUUUUCAAUGGGAAGAUUUCUCAGAGUGGCAGGUACUGUUGCGUCGUGUAGCUUUUGUAAAACGAUAUCCAGCGAAUCUUCGCAGAAAACUGAUUGGAAAACCAAUCGUUACCGGACCGUUAACUCAACUGGAGCUCAGAGAGGCAGAGAAGCUCAUUUUAAAGCUGGUGCAGGAAUCUGAGUUUAGUUCAGAGAUAACAAAUUUACAGAAACCAAAUCCCAUCCCUUGGAAAAAAGUGUUGCCGAAAGAAAGCUCGCUCUACGGGCUUAGUCCGAUAUUGGGCGAGGAUGGACUUUUGCGUAUGAAUGGUCGUAUCGAUGCUUGCGAAUUCAUAGAUAAAUGUACGAAGCGUCCAGUUAUUUUACCGAAAAGACAUCCAGUAACAGAUCUUAUUAUCGCAAAUAUUCAUCGACGAUACCGUCAUAUGAAUCACCAAACAGUGCUCAACGAAGUACGCCGCAGAUUCUACGUACCUCGGCUCCGUUCUACGUAUCGACGAGUGCGAACUAAUUGUCAGAUCUGUAAAAACAAUCAAGCAAAACCAUCUGCACCAGUUAUGUCCAAUCUUCCGCCUACGCGACUGAAAGCCUUCUGCCGUCCAUUUUCUUAUGUCGGUAUUGACUAUUUCGGACCAAUGUCUGUUGUUGUUGGUCGGAGGUCUGAAAAGCGAUGGGGUGUAUUAAUCACAUGUCUUACGGUGAGAGCAAUACACCUAGAAGUAGCACAUAGCCUCACAACAGACUCGUGUAUCCUUGCUAUAAGGAACUUUAUCGCCAGGCGAGGAGCCCCCAUAGAAAUAAUAAGCGAUCGUGGUACCAACUUCAUCGGAGCUAGUCGAGAACUGAGGGAAGCAUUGAAGCAAGUGAAUCAAGACCGAAUGAUGGAGCACUUUACCACCACCGACACUAAAUGGUCAUUCAAUCCACCUGCCUCGCCGCACUUCGGCGGAGCUUGGGAACGCUUAGUUCAAAGUGUUAAGAAGGCCAUUAAGCACACCCAACUCACACGCACACCUAAUGACGAGCUGCUAAAAAAUAUGUUGACUGAGGUCGAGUUUAUUGUGAACUCUCGGCCGUUGACUGAACUGCCGCUAGACAACGAACUGUCCACUGCGCUAACCCCAAAUCACUUUUUGCUGGGGUCAUCAGAUGGAACCAAGCCCCCGAUCGCGUUUGAUGAUAGCAGGUACGCCUUGAAAAAUACAUGGACGACAUCGCAGGUGUACGCAAAUAGAUUCUGGCGACGCUGGAUUACUGAAUACUUACCAUCGUUAACCCGAAGGACGAAGUGGUUUAAUCAUGUGAAACCCAUAGCCGAAGGAGAUAUCGUUGUCAUUGUGGACGAGGCACUACCCAGAAACUGUUGGCCAAAGGGUCGGGUGGUUCGCGCAAUUCAGUCCACGGAUGGACAAGUUCGGCGAGCUCUGGUACGGACAGCUACUGGGGUUCUAGAGAGACCUACUGUUAAACUCGCAGUGUUGGAUGUUGGUGAGUCUACUGGUACGUCGGAAAAGUGAUUUCGAAGCACCGGGGGGGAGUGUCGCAACUUCUUGUUGCAACUCACCACGUAUCCAACCACGAAAUGCAGUGUUUUAUUUUUUUACCUCGUAUGAUCGGGCCUUAAUCACUGCAAUAUGGAGCAGCAGUUUUUUUCCGUGUGAAGGGACCAUAAUUCGAUUACCAUUGACAUAAGAAUGAAAGAGAGAGGGAGAUGAAAAGUGUCAAAGUAAAAAACAAACAAACGAUUAUUAAAAGUCAUUUUGCAAACCGUGAUAAAUCUUGGCAUUCUUUUGUUAAAUAAUAAUAUUACUUCAGCAAUACUUAAAAGAGAAUUUUACACUAGUUAGAAUUACUAAAAAGCUAGCGAAUUCGAAAUACUGUAACGGCUUAAAAAGUAAUUGAUUAUUCUAGUUUAAAAGGUGAAAGUGAAGAAGUGAUGAACUCAAGUUUAUAGUACGUUUUUACUAAAUCAGAUACCUACCUGCUGUUUGAAAUAGUUUAGAAAACAACCUGUGGAAUAAAGCAAACCUAGAUAAACACCAAACUUGGGGUAAAUAAGACAUCGACAAACUGAUAGUUCUAAACCUAACCUAAAAUAUAAACAAUCUUGUAGCAUAACUCUUACCGGUUUAUGAGAUAAACAUAAAGAAGGACGCACAUUAGAGACACUAAACGUAAGUUCAAAUUUAGUCUGAAAUGUAUAUUCAUUAGAGUUAAGAAAAUGCAAUUACGUUAUUAUCAAUAUUGUCAAUAUAUGAAUUUAAUUUGUCUCUCGAUAGGGAUUUUUUAACGACGGUGUUGUCGUCACAGGAAAUUGUUACCGUGAAAUAAAACCAGUUUAAGAAAUCGGAAACUUGUCUCUGUUUCUCGUUGCAAGUUCGCAACACGGCCCUUACACGAGCAUUAAAAAUGUCAUUUUAAAUGAUGACUAAGUAAUGAUGUAUUUCAAAUUUGUUAGAAAUCUCGUCAUUAGUGCACCAUUACACGUUCAUUAAAAUGAUA